rnacentral:rRNA from 1 species
CCUAAAAUCUAGUCUUCAACUACCUUAUGUCCACCACUUUUUAUGCUUUUAUAAUAAAACAUUUUAACUUUAUAGUAGAGGUGAUCAAAAAAUAUCUAAGAACUUCAGAAACAGUACCGCAGGGGAAAGAUGAAAUAAAAAUGAAAUAAAUUUAAAGCCCAAUAAAGCAGAGAUUACAACCCGUACCUUUUGCAUCAUGGUCCAGCUAGUCCAACCAAGCAAAACGAAAUUUCAGUUUGCACACCCGAAACUAAGCGAGCUACUUCAAAACAGCUUAAAGAGCAAACCCGUCUCUGUUGCAAUAGAGUGGGAAGAUUUUCAAGUAGAAGUGACAAGCCUAACGAGCUUAGAGAUAGCUGGUUAUUCAGGAAAAGAAUAUUAGUUCUGCCUUAAAUCUCACCAUGUAAUAAAACAAACCUAAAGAUUUAAGAGUUAUUCAACUAAGGCACAGCUUAUUUGAAAUAGGACACAACCUACACAACAGGGUAAACCUCUAAAUAUAACACAAAGUGGGCCUGAAAGCAGCCACCUUUUAAAAAGCGUUAAAGCUUAACCUAUUUAUAUUAAUAAAUUUCACAAAAACUCAUGAACCCUUAUUUUGUACUGAAUGACUCCAUAACUUAUGGAAAACAUUAUGCUGAAACUAGUAACAAGAAUUUAACAUUCUCCAAAAUGCAAGCAUAAACCAAAAUGGACACUCCACUGGUAAUUAACGAAAAUGAGUAAAACACAAUAACAUAACAAGAAAACCCUGUGUAACCAAAUCGUUAACCUAACACUAGAGCAUUACUGGAAAGAUUAAAAGAGAAAGAAGGAACUCGGCAAAUUUAGGCCCCGCCUGUUUACCAAAAACAUCGCCUCUUGACAAACCAUAAGAGGUCCAGCCUGCCCAGUGACAAAGUUUAACGGCCGCGGAACCCUGACCGUGCGAAGGUAGCAUAAUCACUUGUUCUUUAAAUGGGGACUCGUAUCAAUGGCAUCACGAGGGCCACACUGUCUCCUCUCUCUAAUCAGUGAAACUGAUCUCCCCGUGAAGAAGCGGGGAUAAAACUAUAAGACGAGAAGACCCCAUGGAGCUUUAAACUGAAAAGCAACUCAGUCACAAAUUCCUCUAUAGCCCACAGAGCCAUGCAUGUAAGUUUUAGGUUGGGGUGACCGCGGAGUAAAAACUAACCUCCACGACGAAAAGAACUAAAUCUUUACCCAAGAGCCACCACUCUAAGAAUUAGCACACUAACGAACAAUGACCCGACAAUCGAUCAACGGACCAAGUUACCCUGGGGAUAACAGCGCAAUCUACUUCAAGAGCCCAUAUCGACAAGUAGGCUUACGACCUCGAUGUUGGAUCAGGAUAUCCCAGUGGUGCAGCCGCUACUAAUGGUUCGUUUGUUCUAACAAAU